GUAGGUGGCAAGCGUUGUCCGGAAUUAUUGGGCGUAAAGCGCGCGCAGGUGGUUCUUUAAGUCUGAUGUGAAAGCCCCCCGGCUCAACCGGGGAGGGUCAUUGGAAACUGGGGAACUUGAGUGCAGGAGAGGAAAGUGGAAUUCCACGUGUAGCGGUGAAAUGCGUAGAUAUGUGGAGGAACACCAGUGGCGAAGGCGACUUUCUGGCCUGUAACUGACACUGAGGCGCGAAAGCGUGGGGAGCAAACAGGAUUAGAUACCCUGGUAGUCCACGCCGUAAACGAUGAGUGCUAAGUGUUGGGGGGGUUUCCCGCCCCCCCGUCAGUGCUGCAGCUAACGCAUUAAGCACUCCGCCUGGGGAGUACGGCCGCAAGACUG
rnacentral:rRNA from 1 species